rnacentral:rRNA from 1 species
UACGUAGGGUGCAAGCGUUAAUCGGAAUUACUGGGCGUAAAGCGUGCGCAGGCGGUUGUGCAAGACAGAUGUGAAAUCCCCGGGCUCAACCUGGGAACUGCAUUUGUGACUGCACGGCUAGAGUGUGUCAGAGGGGGGUAGAAUUCCACGUGUAGCAGUGAAAUGCGUAGAUAUGUGGAGGAAUACCGAUGGCGAAGGCAGCCCCCUGGGAUAACACUGACGCUCAUGCACGAAAGCGUGGGGAGCAAACAUG